UACGUAGGGUGCAAGCGUUGUCCGGAAUUAUUGGGCGUAAAGAGCUCGUAGGCGGUUUGUCGCGUCUGCUGUGAAAACCCGAGGCUCAACCUCGGCCUGCAGUGGGUACGGGCAGACUAGAGUGCGGUAGGGGAGAUUGGAAUUCCUGGUGUAGCGGUGGAAUGCACAGAUAUCAGGAGGAACACCAAUGGCGAAGGCAGAUCUCUGGGCCGUAACUGACGCUGAGGAGCGAAAGCGUGGGGAGCGAACAGG
rnacentral:rRNA from 1 species